UACGGAGGGGGCUAGCGUUGUUCGGAAUUACUGGGCGUAAAGCGCGCGUAGGCGGACUGUUAAGUCGGGGGUGAAAUCCCGGGGCUCAACCCCGGAACUGCCUUCGAUACUGGCGGUCUAGAGGUCUGGAGAGGUGAGUGGAAUUCCGAGUGUAGAGGUGAAAUUCGUAGAUAUUCGGAGGAACACCAGUGGCGAAGGCGGCUCACUGGCCAGAUUCUGACGCUGAGGUGCGAAAGCGUGGGGAGCAAACAGG
rnacentral:rRNA from 1 species